rnacentral:rRNA from 1 species
CCUACGGGUGGCAGCAGUGGGGAAUAUUGGGCAAUGGGCGCAAGCCUGACCCAGCAACGCCGCGUGAAGGAAGAAGGCUCUCUGGUUGUAAACUUCUUUUAUCAGGGACGAAGCAAGUGACGGUACCUGAUGAAUAAGCCACGGCUAACUACGUGCCAGCAGCCGCGGUAAUACGUAGGUGGCAAGCGUUAUCCGGAUUUACUGGGUGUAAAGGGCGUGUAGGCGGGAAGGCAAGUCAGAUGUGAAAACCAUGGGCUCAACCUGUGGCCUGCAUUUGAAACUGUUUUUCUUGAGUACUGGAGAGGCAGACGGAAUUCCAGGUGUAGCGGUGAAAUGCGUAGAUAUUAGGAGGAAGACCAGUGGCGAAGGCGGUCUGCUGGACGGCGACUGACGCUGAGGCGCGAAAGCGUGGGGAGCAAACAGGAUUAGAUACCCUUGUAGUC